AUUGAACGCUGGCGGCAUGCUUUACACAUGCAAGUCGAACGGCAGCGGGGGCUUCGGCCUGCCGGCGAGUGGCGAACGGGUGAGUAAUGCAUCGGAACGUGCCCAUGUUGUGGGGGAUAACUACGCGAAAGCGUAGCUAAUACCGCAUAAGCCCCUGAGGGGGGAAAGCGGGGGAUUCUUCGGAACCUCGUGCGAUUGGAGCGGCCGAUGUCGGAUUAGCUAGUAGGUGAGGUAAAGGCUCACCUAGGCGACGAUCCGUAGCGGGUCUGAGAGGAUGAUCCGCCACACUGGGACUGAGACACGGCCCAGACUCCUACGGGAGGCAGCAGUGGGGAAUUUUGGACAAUGGGCGCAAGCCUGAUCCAGCCAUGCCGCGUGAGUGAAGAAGGCCCUGGUUGUAAGUCGUACUUUCGGCCGGGUAACGAAGUACGUAGUUCUCUAACA
rnacentral:rRNA from 1 species